rnacentral:rRNA from 1 species
AGAGUUUGAUCCUGGCUCAGAACGAACGCUGGCGGCAGGCCUAACACAUGCAAGUCGAACGCUGUAGCAAUACAGAGUGGCAGACGGGUGAGUAACGCGUGGGAACGUGCCCUUCGGUUCGGAAUAACUCAGGGAAACUUGAGCUAAUACCGGAUACGUGCGGAAGCAGAAAGAUUUAUCGCCGAAGGAUCGGCCCGCGUCCGAUUAGCUAGUUGGUGAGGUAAUGGCUCACCAAGGCGACGAUCGGUAGCUGGUCUGAGAGGAUGAUCAGCCACACUGGGACUGAGACACGGCCCAGACUCCUACGGGAGGCAGCAGUGGGGAAUAUUGGACAAUGGGCGCAAGCCUGAUCCAGCCAUGCCGCGUGAGUGAUGAAGGCCCUAGGGUUGUAAAGCUCUUUCGCCAGGGACGAUAAUGACGGUACCUGGAUAAGAAGCCCCGGCUAACUUCGUGCCAGCAGCCGCGGUAAUACGAAGGGGGCUAGCGUUGUUCGGAAUCACUGGGCGUAAAGCGCACGUAGGCGGAUCUUUAAGUCAGGGGUGAAAUCCCGAGGCUCAACCUCGGAACUGCCUUUGAUACUGGAGGUCUCGAGUCCGGGAGAGUGAGUGGAACUGCGAGUGUAGAGGUGAAAUUCGUAGAUAUUCGCAAGAACACCAGUGGCGAAUGCGGCUCACUGGCCCGGUACUA